UUUUAAAGUGUGUGAUGUCAAUAUUUAUUGCUGCCGAAGCCCUACCUCCCCAACCCACGCCAGCACUCCCACCCCAACCGCCAGCCCCACAACCACAACCGGCUCCUCAUCAACCAAGGCAACGGAGGCGUGCUAGGCCACCAAUUUUCCGACCCCGUGUCCUACUUUUUGGGAUGCCAGAUGAUGUGGUUGUACGUAGAUACAGGCUGCCACCACAUCUAAUCCUAGACACUCUCUCCAUAAUAGAGAGUGAUCUGGAGUCUGAAAUUCGGUAUCCUACAGCAAUACCACCAUUGACACAAUUCCUUGCUGUGUUACAUUUUUUGGCUACAGGCUCUUAUCAGCAUGUGGUAGGAGACCUGGUUGGCAUGUCGCAGGGCCAGUUCAGUAAGGUCCUGCGGCGUGUCUGCCAGGCUUUCCUAAAGCGUGUGAAGCAAUUUAUUGCUAUGCCUUUGGAUGUUGGUGCCCUAGAUGUGGUGAAGCGGCAAUUUGAGGAAGGUGGUAGUCGCUUCCCACAUGUUAUUGGGGUUGUGGAUGGCACACAUGUAGCUAUUCAGCCACCAAAACAUAAUGAAGAAAUUUAUAGAAACAGGAAACUGUUUCAUUCUCUGAAUGUAAUGGUUGUUUGUGGGCCAUCCCUCCAGAUCCUUUCCCUGAAUGCAAAGUUUACUGGAAGUUCCCAUGAUGCGUAUGUCAUUAGACAAUCAGGGAUAUGGCACAGAUUAAGAUCAAGUCAACGAGCAGACAUGUGGUUAUUGGGAGACCGUGGAUAUCCUUGCACCCCCUGGCUCAUGACUCCUUACCGUAAUCCCAGGCCAGGACCACAGACGGCAUUUAACUCCGCGCUUACUGCCACUAGGCAGCUGGUGGAGCGCACAAUUGGGGUCCUUAAAGGGCGGUUUCGUGUGCUCCACCGCACUGGUGGCGACAUCAUGUAUUCGCCGGAGAUGGCAAGUAAACUAGUGGUCCUGUGCGCUAUACUACACAACAUCGCGGUAAGGAGUAGCGUAGAGCUUCCUCAGACAGAGGAAUUGCCUGAUGAGGAGCCAGGGGUUGUCCGACACUUCGGUGGGGGGAGUGUUACACGGAGGGGGAGCCAAGUCAGGGCAAGCAUUGUUGCGGAAUAUUUCAGGUAUAGUGUUUUAAGUUUCUCUUUUUUAAUCAAAAUAAAACCACAGUAUGCUUUUGUAUUUUGAUUAAUUUUGUCAUUUUGUUUGCUAUUGUAAGGCCAUUGGGUAAUUAUUUUUUGGCUUUGGAAUAUGUAAUAUUUAUUUGCCACUAAAUCCGUUAACACGUUAAGCUUACAAUGUGUUAUUUGCAAAAACAAUACUGUGAUGUUGCUAAAUAGUGUCCUUAUUUGUUUUCUAUCCUAAAAUCCUGUUUAUUUCAACAAACACACAAACAAAUGAAACUUAAUGUUGUCCACUUUGUGACUGUCCAGCUGAAUGAUCACACAAACUGUGGACGACCACAACGGCAAGCAACACAUGAGGCACCAUCUCAGCCCCCUUCCCCUUCUCACUCCCCCUCCACUUCCCAGUCCCCCUCCC